GCAGCGAUGUCCGAGUGGUUAAGGAGUUGGACUUGAAAUCCAGUGGGCUCUGCCCUCGCAGGUUCGAACCCUGCUCGUUGCG
rfam:Brugia pahangi genome assembly, scaffold: BPAG_contig0000268